rnacentral:tRNA from 1 species
GGCCCCAUCGUCUAGCCCGGUCUAGGACGCGUGGUUCUCAGCCACAAAACACCGGUUCAAAUCCGGUUGGGGCUA